rnacentral:sRNA from 1 species
AUCUAUUGCUGCAAGCUAUCCCUCACUGCUAAGCUAUCGCUGCCAACCUAUCUAUCACUGCCAACCUAUCUAUCGCUGCCAAUUUAUCUACCACUGCCAAUCUAUCUAUUGCUGCUAAUCUAUCGCUGCUGUCAAUCUAUCCCUCGCUGCUAAGCUAUCCCUCACUGCUAAGCUAUCCCUCGCUGCUAAGCUAUCCCUCACUGCUAAGCUAUCGCUGCCAACCUCUCUAUUGCUGCAAGCUAUCCCUCGCUGCUAAGCUAUCGCUGCCAACCUAUCUAUCGCUGCCAACCUAUCUAUCGCUGCCAAUUUAUCUACCACUGCCAAUCUAUCUAUUGCUGCUAAUCUAUCACUGCUGUCAAUCUAUCCCUCGCUGCUAAGCUAUCCCUCGCUGCUAAGCUAUCCCUCGCUGCUAAGCUAUCCCUCGCUGCUAAGCUAUCCCUCGCUGCUAAGCUAUCGCUGCCAACCUAUCUAUCGCUGCCAACCUAUCUAUCGCUGCCAACCUAUCUAUCGCUGCCAAUUUAUCUACCACUGCCAAUCUAUCUAUUGCUGCUAAUCUAUCGCCGCUGCCAAUCUAUCCCUCGCUGCUAAGCUAUCCCUCGCUGCUAAGCUAUCCCUCACUGCUAAGCUAUCUCUCGCUGCUAAGCUAUCCCUCACUGCUAAGCUAUCCCUCGCUGCUAAGCUAUCCCUCACUACUAAGCUAUCUAUCACUGCUAAUCUAUCGCUGCCAACCUAUCUAUCACUGCCAAUCUAUCUAUCGCUGCUAAUCUAUCGCUGCUAAUCUAUUGCUGCUAAUCUAUCACUGCUAAUCUAUCGCUGCCAACCUAUCUACCGCGGCGAAUCUAUCUAUCACUAUCAUUACUAGUUCAAAAUAGAACUAGAGCAUAAAUACACUAAACUUCUUUUGAUAGGUAAUGAUUUUUGGUAAUGCUCAUAGCAUUAUAUCAUCUAUAUAGGGUAAAUCAUGGUCUCAUUUGGUCCCAUUUUAACAAAAUGGGACCAAAUGAGACCAGAAUCAGUAAUUUAUAAGAAGAACAUGACCUGAGACUAGAUUUAUAAUAUAAACAGUGUAAAGUGACUAAUUUAAUAAACACUAUAUGGGACCA